AACCAGCACCCAACGCUACUCUGUUUACCAGGUCAGGUCCGGAAGGAAGCAGCCAGAGCAGACGACGUGUGUGCCGGGAUGUAGCUGGCAGGG
rnacentral:SRP_RNA from 1 species